rnacentral:rRNA from 1 species
AACGAACGCUGGCGGCAGGCCUAACACAUGCACGUCGAACGGGAUCUUCGGAUCUAGUGGCGGACGGGUGAGUAACGCGUGGGAACGUGCCCUUUGGUUCGGAAUAGCCCUGGGAAACUGGGAGUAAUACCGGAUGUGGUCGAGAGACGAAAGACUUAUCGCCAAAGGGUCGGCCCGCGUUGUAGUAGGUAGUUGGUGGGGUAAUGGCCUACCAAGCCGACGAUCCAUAGCUGGUUUGAGAGGAUGAUCAGCCACACGGGGACUGACACACCGCCCAGACUCCUACGGGAGGCAGCAGGGGGGAAUCUUAGACAAUGGGGGAAGCCUUGCUCUAGCCAUGCCGCUGGAGCGAUGAAGGCCUUAGGGUUGUAAAGCGCUUUCGUGGGGGAAGAUAAUGGCUGUACCCACAGAAGAAGCCCCGGCUAACUCCGUGCCAGCCGCCGCCGUAACAC